AAAUAUGCUGAGCUGGAAGGGAACCACAGGGAUCAGCGAGUCCAGCUCUUACUCCUGAAUAGAACCAUCUUCAAGGGUCACAACAGCGUAUUUCACCGGGGAUGUCACUUUGAACUGAUUGUGCCACUGAGCCUGCCUACUGCACGGAUAUAGAAAAAAGAUGAAAGUGUGCUUACCCUCUUAAUGGUUAUAUUUGUCUAUUAAAAAAAAGAAGGUGGCAAACUAGGAAAUAACAGCCAUAUUUAUGAUCUAGGAGGUGGCCAUAGCAACCUAUGUGUUUUGAAGUUCAUUACAGACACAUGGUAAAGAGGUUUGGGAGGGAUGUGAAGGAAACCGGCUCCGUUGCCAUGUCCAUCAUCAUGAUGAGCAUAAGGGACAGCUUAAUUGAAAACAUGAAAGUGAAUGCUUAGAAAUGUGAGUGAGCAAUGAGUCCCGGUAGCCAGGGCCAGCUGGAGGCAGUUUCUUGACAUUGAAUGGAAAACGAUCAAUAGAGAGGAAUAAGGCAAAGAAGUACUUGAAAAACUCAUCCAAGGAAUUCAUAGAUGACAGUAAAGGAACUACCCUUCGAACAACUGGAGAGAUGCAGCAUCAGCAUGCUGAAUGAUUGGAAUCAGAAAAUACUGCAUUAGCGAGGCCAAAUAAACGAUAUGGGAAUCAUCUACAUAUUAUAGCACUAGGUUAUAUGUGGAGCAGAUUUGAAGCAGAGCUGCUGUUUUCGUUUCCUCCUUAAGGAAUUUAGUUUGUAUGCACCAAAACCACUUGGAGAACUGAAACACCACAUGGCAAGAGCAAAUGACUUCUGUUUACUGGGAAACAUACUCGUCUGUGUUCUGGUUUCCUUGUGCUGCUGGAAGGGUCAACAGAGCUGGAAGCAGGGGAAUUUUCAGCUGGCACUGCUCCUGUGAAGGCAGCUCCCACUUGGCCCUACUGUGGAGAAGGACUGGCUAGCAUAAG